CUUCAUUCUUUUUAGAUUUCUCGGAAAAAUCAGUUCGUAAUGGGAGAAAUAUUGAAUUUAUUGUUAAUUAUUUUUAUAAUUGCCGAGUCUCUUGGUCAAAUUGUGCAAAAAGAUGAUUCUGAAGUUAGUUGUGAUGGGUUUAAGUGUCCUGAGGGAACCAAUAUUUGUCGUGUUACAAAGGAUUCUGUGGGAAAUUCUGAUGAAAUUGUCGUUGAAAGGAGUUGUAAAGAUAAAAAUGGAAAAACCCUCUUCUCCGACAUCAAAAAAAUCGCAAGCACCAUUAAUGACUAUCAUUUCGCAUCAGAAACUUCCGUUAAUGCACAAAAAACUUCAAACUGGCGAAACGACAUUCACAGAGACCUCAACGAAAAAACGAGAAAACUGAAGGAAGAAGCUGAAAACCUUUCACGUCAAGCAAAACUCGCUCUCCAAAAAGCAUUUGAUCGAAUUUUCUCACAUCGCCAAGAAAUAUUUUGAAAAUAAAAUUUAUUAACGUCCAAAAAUGUUCGCGAACGUAUUUUGCAAGUUAUUGUUCAAAUUAUACAAAACUUGACUUAAUUGAUCAUUCACUUGUUUCUG